CUACGGGGGGCAGCAGCAGGGAAUAUUGCACAAUGGACGGAAGUCUGAUGCAGCGACGCCGCGUGGAUGAUGAAGGCCCUCGGGUUGUAAAAUCCUUUUCAGGGGGACGAGGAAGGACGGUACCCUUGGAAUAAGCGUCGGCUAACUACGUGCCAGCAGACGCGGUAAGACGUAGGACGCAAGCGUUAUCCGGAUUUACUGGGCGUAAAGCGUCUGUAGGCGGAAUGGUAAGUUGGACGUGAAAGCUCCGGGCUCAACCCGGAGAGGUCGUUCAAUACUGCCAAACGAGAGGGCAUCAGAGGAGCGUGGAAUUUCCGGUGUAGCGGUAAAAUGCGCAGAUAUCGGAAGGAACACCAAUGGCGAAGGCAGCGCUCUGGGAUGAACCUGACGCUAAGAGACGAAAGCUAGGGGAGCGAACAGGAUUAGAUACCCUGGUAGUC
rnacentral:rRNA from 1 species